rnacentral:rRNA from 1 species
UACAGAGGUCCCGAGCGUUGUUCGGAUUCACUGGGCGUAAAGGGUGCGUAGGUGGCGAGGUAAGUCGGAUGUGAAAGCUCGGAGCUCAACUCCGAAAUGGCAUUGGAAACUACCUUGCUCGAGGGUUGGAGGGGGGACUGGAAUACUUGGUGUAGCAGUGAAAUGCGUAGAUAUCGAGAGGAACACCGGUGGCGAAGGCGGCCAACUGGACGAAUACUGACGCUGAGACUCGAAAGCGUGGGGAGCAAACAGG